rnacentral:rRNA from 1 species
GACGAACGCUGGCGGCGUGCUUAACACAUGCAAGUCGAACGGAAAGGCCCUGCUUUUGUGGGGUGCUCGAGUGGCGAACGGGUGAGUAACACGUGAGUAACCUGCCCUUGACUUUGGGAUAACUUCAGGAAACUGGGGCUAAUACCGGAUAUGAGCUCCUGCUGCAUGGUGGGGGUUGGAAAGUUUCGGCGGUUGGGGAUGGACUCGCGGCUUAUCAGCUUGUUGGUGGGGUAGUGGCUUACCAAGGCUUUGACGGGUAGCCGGCCUGAGAGGGUGACCGGCCACAUGGGGACUGAGAUACGGCCCAGACUCCUACGGGAGGCAGCAGUGGGGAAUAUUGCACAAUGGGCGGAAGCCUGAGGCAGCAACGCCGCGUGCGGGAUGACGGCCUUCGGGUGGUAAACAGCUUUCGCCGGUGACGAAGCGGGAGUGACGGUAAUGGGUAAAGAAGCACCGGCUAACUACGUG